UUAUCCGUUUAACCUAAACUUUUUCCAACUUCUCCAUAGCCGCCGCACAAGGCAUCCUUUCCGCUCCUUCCCCCUCCUGUUGCGAGAAGAAAGAAGAAAGAUCCCUGCUCGCCAUGUAACCACAAUUUUUUUUCUUGCUUAGUAAAUAGUUCUGUUGCUGACGAAGAUGCAGCGAGUGCCGACCGUCGAGGCAAGGAGGGGCGAUCGCUCCUCGCCAGGCAAUGAGCGACCGGCUCGUGGUCGAUCGGCUCGCAAGAUGCUGCAAGCGAGGCACUGAGGCAACGAGGCAAGGAGCAAGAAGCAAUAUCUCUGCUCGCCAGACCGCCGAGACAAGGAGGCGUGACCGCUCCUCACCGAGCAACGAGCGACCACCUCGCGGUUGGUCGACUCACAAGCUGCUGCACGUGAGGUGACGAGGAAAGGAGCAAGAAGCAAGAUCUCUGCUCGCCAGGUAACUGUAAUUUUUUUUCUUAUUUAGUAAAUAGUUCUGUUGCUAGCGAAGAUGCAGCAAGCGUCGACCACCGAGGCAAGGAGGGGCAACCGCUCCUCACCAGGCAACGAGCCACCACCUCGCGAUCGAUCGUCUUGCAAGCUACUACAAACGAGGCAAUGAGGCAAUGAGGCAAGGAGCAAGAAGCAAGAUCUCUGCUCGCCAGGUAAUUAUAAACUUUUUUGGCAUUUGACUGAGAUUGUUGCAGCUAGUGUCAGACAUUCAACAUGAUUAUUUGGGGUAGUCGAAGAGGUGGUAGCACUGAAGGAUAGUGAAAGAAAGAGCAAGACUAUUAAAUAGGGGGAAGAAAGGGAUCUGGCUUAAAGUAUCUUUGGGUCGCUCUUAGUUUGUUCCCAUUGCUAUAAAGGAAUGACUCCUAAGCACCUAACUAAAAGGAAAUCUCACUUUAAACUUCAAAUUGAGAUUGAUAUGCAACCAUCAGCUAUGUGUACAAAUCACAUAGAUCGGCAUUCAAUUGAACAAGGUACCUUGAAUAACCAAAGAGAUGCAGCUUCAAAUCAAUUUCAUGUUGAUGUACAAGAUCAUAUCCCACAUGUUGAAAAUAAUUCUUUAGUUCCAUACCAAAAUGAUGAUAUGAAAGAAAAAUCUAGUGAAGGUGAUAGGUACUUGGAUUUUUGUGAAGCAAUACGACAGUUGAAGAUGGUCUGCCUAGUUAGUUUUUAUUUUAUAAGAUUGUUCUAAAACUUAAUAUUUUGAGUGUAGUGUGUUGUUAGUUUUGGAUGUAAAAAACUUCUUGUUAGUUUGCGUUUGUAAAUUUGACUCAAAUAUUUGUUGGAUGAAUUUAGAUUAUCUAUUUGCACUUUAAAUUA